rnacentral:rRNA from 1 species
UACGGAGGGUGCAAGCGUUAAUCGGAAUUACUGGGCGUAAAGCGUGCGUAGGCGGUUUUUUAAGUCAGAUGUGAAAGCCCUGGGCUUAACCUGGGAACGGCAUUUGAUACUGGAAGACUUGAGUUGAGUAGAGGGGAGUGGAAUUUCAGGUGUAGCGGUGAAAUGCGUAGAGAUCUGAAGGAACACCAGUGGCGAAGGCGACUCCCUGGACUCAAACUGACGCUGAGGUACGAAAGCGUGGGUAGCAAACAGG